rnacentral:rRNA from 1 species
GUCAACGGCCGUGCCACCCUGACCGUGCCUGAUUUCGUUUGAUUUCGGAAGCUAAGCAGGGUCAGGCCCGUUUAGUACUUGGAUGGGAGACUACCCGGUUAGUACUUGGAUGGGAGACUACCUAGGAAUACUCAGUGCUGUAGGCG